ACACUCCUGCGGGAGGCAGCAGUGGGGAAUUUUGGACAAUGGGCGAAAGCCUGAUCCAGCAAUGCCGCGUGAGUGAAGAAGGCCUUCGGGUUGUAAAGCUCUUUUGUCAGGGAAGAAACGGUGAGAGCUAAUAUCUUUUGCUAAUGACGGUACCUGAAGAAUAAGCACCGGCUAACUACGUGCCAGCAGCCGCGGUAAUACGUAGGGUGCAAGCGUUAAUCGGAAUUACUGGGCGUAAAGCGUGCGCAGGCGGUUUUGUAAGUCUGAUGUGAAAUCCCCGGGCUCAACCUGGGAAUUGCAUUGGAGACUGCAAGGCUAGAAUCUGGCAGAGGGGGGUAGAAUUCCACGUGUAGCAGUGAAAUGCGUAGAUAUGUGGAGGAACACCGAUGGCGAAGGCAGCCCCCUGGGUCAAGAUUGACGCUCAUGCACGAAAGCGUGGGGAGCAAACAGGAUUAGAAACCCUGGUAGUCCCAUG
rnacentral:rRNA from 1 species